rnacentral:lncRNA from 1 species
GGCAAAGAGAGAACAGCGAAAAGAUAACGUGCUAAUUUUUUCCUUCUAGAGACAGAAGCACAUCGGGGUCAUGAAAUUAUACCCUUUUUAUGGUGUUGCUGUCAUUUCUGCACUUCAACAAGGAGAAAGCAGGGUAUAGGGGAAAGCUCCUAGUCCAUGGAAUCCAAGUCUCAGCUGUGGAAGAGUACAAGGCCACGAUGAAAGGAACGGGAAAUGGCAAAUGGACAGAAGAAACAGAGACG